rnacentral:rRNA from 2 species
CAAUGGACGAAAGUCUGAUGGAGCGACACAGCGUGCAGGAUGAAGGCCCUAUGGGUUGUAAACUGCUGUGGUUAGGGAAGAAAAAGUAGCAUAGGAAAUGAUGCUACCUUGACGGUACCUGAUUAGAAAGCAACGGCUAACUAUGUGCCAGCAGCCGCGGUAAUACAUAGGUUGCAAGCGUUAUCCGAAAUUAUUGGGCGUAAAGCGUCUGUAGGUUGUUUGUUAAGUCUGGCGUUAAAUUUUGGGGCUCAACCCCAAAACGCGUUGGAUACUGGCAGACUAGAGUUAUGUAGAGGUUAGCGGAAUUCCUUGUGAAGCGGUGAAAUGCGUAGAUAUAAGGAAGAACAUCAAUAUGGCGAAGGCAGCUAACUGGGCAUACACUGACACUGAGAGACGAAAGCGGGGGGAGCAAACAGGAUUAGAUACCCUGGUAGUCCACGCCCUAAACGAUGAUCAUUAGUUGAUGGGGAACUCAUCGACGCAGCUAACGCAUUAAAUGAUCCGCCUGAGUAGUACGUUCGCAAGAAUAAAACUUAAAGGAAUUGACGGGGAUCCGCACAAGCGGUGGAGCAUGUGGUUUAAUUUGAUGUUACGCGUAGAACCUUACCCACUCUUGACAUCUUCUGCAAAGCUAUAGAGACAUAGUGGAGGUUAACAGAAUGACAGACGGUGCAUGGUUGUCGUCAGCUCGUGUCGUGAGAUGUUCGGUUAAGUCCUGCAACGAGCGCAACCCUUAUCCUUAGUUACUACCAUUUAGUUGAGCACUCUAAGGAGACUGCCCGAGUAAUCGGGAGGAAGGUGGGGACGACGUCAAAUCAUCAUGCCUCUUACGGGCGGGGCUACACACGUGCUACAAUGGACGGUACAAAGAGAAGCGAAGUGGUGACAUGGAGCAAACCUCAAAAAACCGUUCUCAGUUCGGAUUGAAGUCUGCAACUC